CGCAGUUAACGAAUAAUAGAUUUAGCGGUAGCUAAACAAGUGCAGCGAACCAGUUACUCUUUAGUAUUGUUUAGCAUCAAUUUCUAAAUGGAAGAUUUGGUUUUUAAACCCCUAAACUCAAGAAUUUGUUUAGACACGUCACUGAUAGUGAUUUCUACUGAGACAGAGGGACUUUAAACACUGAAGAAAGAAAAAGAAGACUUCUACAAACAGAACAUUCAUCUGUUUCUUCAGGAGGAACAGCGCACAGGCUUCAGUCAUAAGGAAAAGUAAGAAAGAAGUCUGCUAAGCUCCGCCUCCUAUGUGAGGAUGUCUGUGUUGCACGUGUGUGUGUGUUUGCCAGAGGGGUAACGCCAUCACCAACUUGGAAAGAGAAAGUAAGUGGUUUCCCAGACCUCCACCAGGAGACACAGCGAGGAAAAAGGGAAUAAACGUGCAGCGUUUUGUGUCUGCAUGUGCCCGAGGCUUUCCGUCUCCCUCUGCAUAUUAAGUGGCGGCGCUGAAAACACACGGAGCGCGGGACCGCGGCACACAGUCAGGGAGACGCACACGUUUGUCUUCCAAUGUGACGCCGACAGAUUCAAACUCAGAACUUCCUAAUUGUGUUCGGCAUGUAAAAACUCAAUCACACUUUCAGUAAUUUCAGCGAUCUUGGUAUCAGAACAUUUAGCUCAUUUAAGACAUUUCUGCUUGUAUUUUUGGUAUUUAUAACCUUUAUAGUUUUUGAAAUGUUGAGCAAAAUAUGCCCCACAGGAAAUACAUGGGAAAAUCUUCAAAUUCAGUAUUUUUACUUAGAUUAGCAACAGGUCUUUAUAUAUAUUCAUUCACGGUCUAUGUUUUCAUGUUUUAUAGUAAUUUCCCAAAAAUUCGGCAUUGAGCGGUUAUAUCAGCACUAUGCUGGCUCAUUUGGGUAAUUUGGCAUCUACUGUGUUUUUGUUUUAGACUAAUUUAGAGUUUAGGUUCUAUUUUAGCAACAGGCUAACAUUUUUGGCUAGUUUGGUUUACUGAGAAAUCUUAGGCUCU